UACAGAGGGUGCGAGCGUUAAUCGGAAUUACUGGGCGUAAAGCGCACGUAGGUGGCGACGUAAGUCGGGUGUGAAAGCCCCGGGCUCAACCUGGGAAUUGCAUUCGAGACUGCAUUGCUGGAGUACGGAAGAGGAAGGCGGAAUUCCCGGUGUAGCGGUGAAAUGCGUAGAUAUCAGGAGGAACACCAAUUGCGAAGGCAGCUCGCUGGGACGUAACUGACGCUGAGACGCGAAAGCGUGGGGAGCAAACAGG
rnacentral:rRNA from 1 species